UCCAGACUCCUACGGGAGGCAGCAGUGGGGAAUAUUGCACAAUGGGGGAAACCCUGAUGCAGCGACGCCGCGUGAGUGAAGAAGUAUUUCGGUACGUAAAGCUCUAUCAGCAGGAAAGAAAAUGACGGUACCUGACUAAGAAGCCCCGGCUAACUACGUGCCAGCAGCCGCGGUAAUACGUAGGGGGCAAGCGUUAUCCGGAUUUACUGGGUGUAAAGGGAGCGUAGACGGCAGCGCAAGUCUGGAGUGAAAUGCCGGGGCCCAACCCCGGAACUGCUCUGGAAACUGUGAAGCUGGAGUGCAGGAGAGGUAAGCGGAAUUCCUGGUGUAGCGGUGAAAUGCGUAGAUAUCAGGAGGAACACCGGCGGCGAAGGCGGCUUACUGGACUGUAACUGACGUUGAGGCUCGAAGGCGUGGGGAGCAAACAGGAUUAGAUACCCUGGUA
rnacentral:rRNA from 1 species